UCCAUUUUAGUAUUCUUAUAGGAAAAGCUUUAAGAUGCCCUCACUAUUUGAUUUUGUCUUCUACUGAGACCACCCAAUUUUCACUGAAAUUUAAUAAAGUACCAGUGAUAGGAGCUUGAGUGUGUGUAUGACAGGCCUCCUGUCUUCCUCACCUGACUUCUGGGCACAGUCCUACCAGGAGAUGUGCUGCUCUACCUCAGUUCCAUUAAUUAAUUUAUGUAUUUAUACCACCAGGGUUAUCUCUGGGCUUGAUGCCCUCAUGAUACUCUCCACUCUUGAUAAUAUAUAUAUAUAUGAGGUAGCUCCAGGUUGAAGUCUAGUGUCAUGGUUAGAACCAGUUUUAAAAUUUUAAUAAAGGUAUUAUUAGAAAUACAUUAACAAUUUAUGUCCAGUGUUGAAAUUAAAUCAGUUUACUAAUUUGAAAACUCAAGUGCUUAAAGGAUUAUAUACUCAGAACUGAAGUUUUAAGUAUUGAGUGAUAACAGAUCCAGUGCUCUAAUCAUGUGAUAAAAUGUUCUUACUCAUAAAAGAGGGGUGGGGUUGGGGGGGGCUGAGGUAGUACACCUGGUUAAGUGCCCAAAUAGUGGGAAAUGCAAGGACAGGUGAAAGAAUCCUGGUUCUAGUCCCUGGCUCCCCACAUGGAGGGGGUUUGCUAGCAAGUGGUCUUCAGCAGGUCUUCAGGUGUCUGCCUAUCCCCUCUCAGUUUCUCUCAGUACUAUCCAACAACAACAACAACAACAAUAACAACAAUAAUAGUGGCAAUGGAGAAGGGGAAUGGCUUCCAGGAGCAGUGGAUUCCUAGUGCAAUCACCCAGCCCCUGUGAUAACCCCGGAGGCAAAGAAAAGAACCAGUUUAGGAGGGGGUCAUGAAUUUGUAGCAGGUGUGGCCCUUCCCCAGUCUCCAGAUAGAAUAAACAGCUUAAUAACAAAGAAAUGGCUUCAGGGCUGCCCAAGAAAGGCUGGACUGAGGCCCCAACCUAUUUGGGAAGUCCUGAGAUUCCCAGACAUGAUGGGCCUAGACCUCAAAUAAAUCCCUCUCUCCAUUGUUACUGGUCAUCUCUAUCAGAAACAAUAAAAUAGACCCAUUUGUGGGCCCCAAUAGGACCUUGCCCUCAACAUGAAUCAAGAAAGCUACCAGGUUCCAGAUGCUAAAGUGAUGCCAACUGGACUUCCCUGGGCAGACGACCCCACCAAUGUUUUCUGGAGCCCCGCUUCCCCAGAAGCCCACCACACUAGGGAAAGAGAGAGGCAGGCUGGAAAUAUGGAUCAACCUGCCAUCAUCCAUGUUCAAAGGGGAGGUAAUUACAGAAGCCAGACCUUCCACAUUCUGCACGCCAUAAUGACCCUGGGUUCAUACGCCCAGAGGUAUAAAGAAUAGGAAAGCUAUCAGGGGAGGAGAUGGGAUACAGAGUUCUGGUGAUGGGAAUUGUGUGGAGUUAUACCUCUCUUAUCCUAUGGUUUUUGUCAGUGUUUCCUUUUUAUAAAUAAAUAUUAAGAAAUAAAAUAAACUAUAAAAAUUUUAAAAGUUCACAGUAAAAAUUCAGAAUUUCAGUAACAUUAAAUGCCAUCUUUUGCCAUCAUUCUUUUUUUUUCCCUCCAAGGUUAUUGCUGGGACUCUGUGCCUGUACCAGGAAUCCACUGACCUGGACACCACCCUCUCCCUUUUUGUUGCCCUUGGUUUUUUUCUUUUUAAUUAUCAUUAUUACUGUUGCUGUCAUUGUCCUUGGAUAAUACAGAGAGAAAUGGAGAGAGAAGAGGAAACAGAGAGGGGUAGAGAAAGAUAAGAUACCUGCAGACCUGCUUCACUGCCCGUGAAGAACCGACUCCCCUGUAGGUGUGGAGCCAGGGUCUCAACCCAGAUUCCUUAUGCCUGUCCUUGCACUUCACACCAUGCAUGCUAACCCCGCUGUGCUACUACUGCCUGACCACCUUUUGCCAUCAUUCUAAAAUGAUUAGGAUGGGUGCAGUGACUUAACAAAUCUGCUACCUUCAUUGGAGACAGGGUGGGGUCUGGCUCUGGGUGGGGUCACCUCUGCAGGAGAAAUUAUCUCCUUUAUAGACAAAAUACUUAUAGUUUGUGCCUUUUAAUUUUAUACUUGCUUUUAACUGCAUUCCUUCACCUACCAGUUAUUAUGAAGUCUUGUAUCUGGAAUGAUUUCUAUAAGGGAAUAUUAUCUGUGCCUUAGAAAUAAAUUAAUAUACUUUUAUAUUCUUUUCUGUUAUUUUUUAUUUUCCCUUUUGUUGCCCUGUUUUUUAUUGUUGUUGUAGUUAUUAUUCUUACUGAUGUCAUCAUUGUUGGACAGGAUAUACAGAAAUGGAGAGAGGAGAGUAUGACAGAGAGGGUGAGAGAAAGACCUGCAGAUCUGCAGACCUGCUUCACCACGUGUGAAGAGGCUCCCCUGCAGGUAGGAAGCCAAAGCAAAGGCUGGAACCAGGAUCCUAACACCAGUCUUUGUGCUUUGCGCCACUUGUGCUUAAUCCGCUGAGCUACCACCCAGAUCCUGCUCAGCAUAUUGUUUAUGCCUAUAUGAUAAAGAAAAAAAUAGAGCUACUCCUCAAAGUUGGUUCUGGUUGGAGACACUAAAUCUACCAUAGCCAGAAAAAAGUAACAGGGCAACACAUAGUAGGGCAACUCUAAAUUU